AUACAGAUAGCUGUUUACUAUUUAAUUGUGAUUUACUGUCCUGGUAAAGAUGGCUCACGACCCGUCAACAAGUCUAUCACUGAUAACCUGGUUGGAUGGAAUGAACUAUGUUUCCUGGUCUAUGAAAUGCAGUCUAAUUCUGCGUAGG